rnacentral:rRNA from 1 species
AUACGGAGGAUCCGAGCGUUAUCCGGAUUUAUUGGGUUUAAAGGGUGCGUAGGUGGUUUGAUAAGUCAGCGGUGAAAGUUUGCAGCUUAACUGUAAAAUGCCGUUGAAACUGUCGGACUUGAGUGUAAAUGAGGUAGGCGGAAUGCGUGGUGUAGCGGUGAAAUGCAUAGAUAUCACGCAGAACUCCGAUUGCGAAGGCAGCUUACUAAGCUACAACUGACACUGAAGCACGAAAGCGUGGGGAUCAAACAGGAUUAGAUACCCUGGUAGUCCACGCAGUAAACGAUGAUUACUAGCUGUUUGCGAUACACAGUAAGCGGCACAGCGAAAGCGUUAAGUAAUCCACCUGGGGAGUACGCCGGCAACGGUGAAACUCAAAGGAAUUGACGGGG